rnacentral:rRNA from 1 species
UUGGAGGGCAAGUCUGGUGCCAGCAGCCGCGGUAAUUCCAGCUCCAAUAGCGUAUAUUAAAGUUGUUGCAGUUAAAAAGCUCGUAGUUGAAUUUCGGGGUUCUACCGUCGGUCGGGCUACCAAGUCUGUACUGGUGUGUAGAACUUCUAACUUCUGGGGAACCAUCAUGUUAUUAAUUUAGCGUGGUGGGAAACCAGGACCUUUACCUUGAAAAAAUUAGAGUGUUCAAAGCAGGCUUAUGUCUGAAUACAUUAGCAUGGAAUAAUAGAAUAGGACGGUGGUCCUGUUUUGUUGGUUUCUGGAUCACCGUAAUGAUUAAUAGGGAUAGUUGGGGGCAUUAGUAUUCAAUUGUCAGAGGUGAAAUUCUUGGAUUUAUUGAAGACUAACUUCUGCGAAAGCAUUUGCCAAGGAUGUUUUCAUUAAUCAAGAACGAAAGUUAGGGGAUCGAAGACGAUCAGAUACCGUCGUAGUCUUAACCAUAAACUAUGCCGACUAGGGAUCGGACGAUGUUAAAUUUUAUUGACUCGUUCGGCGCCUUACGGGAAACCAAAGUGUUUGGGUUC